UUGAAGAGUUUGAUCCUGGCUCAGAUUGAACGCUGGCGGCAUGGCUAAUGCAUGCAAGUCGAACGAAAGCCCUUCGGGGCGAAAGUGGCGAAAGGGCGAGUAAUGCGAUCGAACGUACCCCAAGGUGGAGGAUAGCGUCGAGAAAUCGGCAGUAAUACUCCAUGUGCUCUUCGGAGGAAAGCUUUGGCGCCUUGGGAGCGGCGAUCGUCCUAUCAGGUAGUUGGUGAGGUAAUGGCUCACCAAGCCGAAGACGGGUAGCGGGUGUGAGAGCAUGACCCGCCGCAUCGGAACUGAGACA
rnacentral:rRNA from 1 species